rnacentral:rRNA from 1 species
AACGAACGCUGGCGGCAGGCCUAACACAUGCAAGUCGAACGCGAACGGUUCUUCGGAACUUAUUAGAGUGGCGCACGGGUGAGUAACGCGUGGGAAUAUACCCUGUAGUUCAGAAUAACCAUUGGAAACGAUGGCUAAUACUGGAUACGCUCUUCGGAGGAAAGAUUUAUCGCUAUAGGAUUAGCCCGCGUGACAUUAGCUUGUUGGUAAGGUAAAAGCUUACCAAGGCGACGAUGUCUAGCUGGUCUGAGAGGAUGAUCAGCCACACUGGAACUGAGACACGGUCCAGACUCCUACGGGAGGCAGCAGUGAGGAAUAUUGGGCAAUGGGCGAAAGCCUGACCCAGCCAUGCCGCGUGUGUGAUGAAGGCCCUAGGGUUGUAAAGCACUUUCAUUGGUGAAGAUAAUGACGGUAACCAAAGAAGAAGCCCCGGCUAACUUCG